rnacentral:rRNA from 1 species
UACGUAGGCAGCGAGCGUUGUUCGGAAUUACUGGGCGUAAAGAGUGUGUAGGCGGUGCUCUAAGUUCGGUGUGAAAUCUCCUGGCUCAACUGGGAGGGUGCGGCGGAAACUGGAGUGCUUGAGCGCGGGAGAGGAAAGCGGAAUUCCUGGUGUAGCGGUGAAAUGCGUAGAUAUCAGGAGGAACACCUGUGGUGUAGACAGCUUUCUGGACCGUAGCUGACGCUGAGACACGAAAGCGUGGGUAGCAAACAGG